rnacentral:tRNA from 1 species
GGCUCCGUGGCUUAAUGGUUACGGCUUCUGCCUCACAAGCAGAAGGUUCAGGGAUCAAAUCCCGGCCGGUGCCU